rnacentral:rRNA from 1 species
GGUUUGAUUAUGGCUCAGAUUGAACGCUGGCGGGAUGCUUUACACAGCAUGCAAGUCGAACUGGCAGCACGGACUUCGGUCUGGUGGCGAGUGGCGAACGGGUGAGUAAUGUAUCGGAACGUGCCUAGUAGCAGGGGAUAACUACGCGAAAGCGUAAACUAAUACUGCAUACGCCCUUCGAGAAGCAGAGGGGACCUUCGGGCACUCGCACUAUUAAGAGCGGCCGAUAUCGGAUUAGCUAGUUGGUGGGGUAACGGCUCGCAAGGCGACGAUCCGUAGCUGGUUUGAGAGGACGACCAACCACACUGGGACUGAGACACAGCCCAGACUCCUACGGGAGGCAGCAGUGGGGAAUUUUGGACAAUGGGGGGAAACCUGAUCAGCCAUCCCGCGUGUGCGAUGAAGGCCUUCGGGUUGUAAAGCACUUUUGGCAGAAGAAACGGCGCGGGAUAAUACCCCGUGCAGCGGCAGUACCUGCAGAAUAAGCACCGGCUAACUACGUGCCAGCAGCCGCGGUAAUACGUAGGUGCAAGCGUUAAUCGGAAUUACUGGGCGUAAAGCGUGCGCAGGCGGUUCCGGAAAGAAGAUGUGAAAUCGGAAACAUUUGGAACUGCAUUUUUAACUACCGAGGCUAGAGUGUGUCAGAGGAGGUGGAAUUCCGCGUGGCAGUGAAAUGCGUAGAUAUGCGGAGGAACACCGAUGGCGAAGGCAGCCUCCUGGGAUAACACUGACGCUCAUGCACGAAAAGCGUGGGGAGCAAACAGGAUUAGAUACCCUGGUAGUCCACGCUAUGAUGUCAACUAGCUGUUGGGGCCUUCGGGCCUUGGUAGCCGCAGCUAACGCGUGGAUUGACCGCCUGGGAAGUACAGUCACCAAGAUUAAAACUCAAAGGAACCGGCGGGGACCCGCACAAGCGGUGGAUGAUGUGGAUUAAUUCGAUGACGCGAAAACCUUACCUACCCUUGACAUGUCUGGAAUCCCGAGAUUUGGGAGUGUCACCAAAGGAGAACGGAACACGGGUGCUGCAUGGCUGUCGUCAGCUCGUGUCGUGAGAUGUUGGGUUAAGUCCCGCAACGAGCGCAACCCUUGUCAUUGGUUGCUGCGAAGGGCUGCUCGUAGGACUGCCGGUGACAAACCGGAGGAGGUGGGGAUGACGUCAGGUCCUCAUGGCCCUUAUGGGUAGGGCUUCACACGUCAUACAAUGGUCGGGACAGAGGGUCGCCAACCCGCGAGGAAGACCAAUCCCAGAAACCCGAUCGUAGUCCGGAUCGCAGUCUGCAACUCGACUGCGUGAUCGGAAUCGCUAGUAAUCGCGGAUCAGCAUGUCGCGGUGAAUACGUUCCCGGGUCUUGUACACCGCCCGUCACACCAUGGAGUAGGUUUUACGAAGUAGUUAGCCUAACCUGUGGGAGGGGCGAUUACCACGGUAAGUUAGAGGCUGGGGUGAAGUCGCAGCAGGUAA